rnacentral:tRNA from 1 species
GGAGAGUACCCGAAUGGUUAGGAACAAGAUUUGAAAUCUUGGGUGGCGUAACAGCUUACAGGGUUCGAUUCCCUGACUCUCUUCCA